rnacentral:rRNA from 1 species
CACGAACGCUGGCGGCGUGCCUAAUACAUGCAAGUCGAGCGCAGGAAAUCGACGGAACCCUUCGGGGGGAAGUCGACGGAAUGAGCGGCGGACGGGUGAGUAACACGUAAAGAACCUGCCCUCAGGUCUGGGAUAACCACGAGAAAUCGGGGCUAAUACCGGAUGGGUCAUCGGACCGCAUGGUCCGAGGAUGAAAGGCGCUCCGGCGCCGCCUGGGGAUGGCUUUGCGGUGCAUUAGCUAGUUGGUGGGGUAAUGGCCCACCAAGGCGACGAUGCAUAGCGGACCUGAGAGGGUGAUCGGCCACACUGGGACUGAGACACGGCCCAGACUCCUACGGGAGGCAGCAGUAGGGAAUCUUCCACAAUGGACGAAAGUCUGAUGGAGCAACGCCGCGUGAACGAUGAAGGCCUUCGGGUCGUAAAGUUCUGUUGUAAGGGAAGAACAAGUGCCGCAGGCAAUGGCGGCACCUUGACGGUGCCUUGCGAGAAAGCCACGGCUAACUACGUGCCAGCCGCCGCGGUAAGAC